rnacentral:rRNA from 1 species
GACGAACGCUGGCGGCGUGCUUAACACAUGCAAGUCGAACGGAAAGGCCCUGCUUGCAGGGUACUCGAGUGGCGAACGGGUGAGUAACACGUGGGUGAUCUGCCCUGCACUUCGGGAUAAGCCUGGGAAACUGGGUCUAAUACCGGAUAGGAGCCAUUUUUAGUGUGAUGGUUGGAAAGUUUUUUCGGUGUAGGAUGAGCUCGCGGCCUAUCAGCUUGUUGGUGGGGUAAUGGCCUACCAAGGCGGCGACGGGUAGCCGGCCUGAGAGGGUGGACGGCCACAUUGGGACUGAGAUACGGCCCAGACUCCUACGGGAGGCAGCAGUGGGGAAUAUUGCACAAUGGGCGCAAGCCUGAUGCAGCGACGCCGCGUGGGGGAUGACGGCCUUCGGGUUGUAAACUCCUUUCGCUAGGGACGAAGCUUUUUGUGACGGUACCUAGAUAAGAAGCACCGGCUAACUACGUGCCAGCAGCCGCGGUAAUACGUAGGGUGCGAGCGUUGUCCGGAAUUACUGGGCGUAAAGGGCUCGUAGGUGGUUUGUCGCGUCGUCUGUGAAAUUCCGGGGCUUAACUCCGGGCGUGCAGGCGAUACGGGCAUAACUUGAGUACUGUAGGGGUAACUGGAAUUCCUGGUGUAGCGGUGAAAUGCGCAGAUAUCAGGAGGAACACCGAUGGCGAAGGCAGGUUACUGGGCAGUUACUGACGCUGAGGAGCGAAAGCAUGGGUAGCGAACAGG